UACGUAGGAGGCGAGCGUUUGUCCGGAAUUAUUGGGCGUAAAGAGCUUGUAGGCGGUUUGUCGCGUCUGCUGUGAAAUUCCAGGGCUUAACCCUGGGCUUGCAGUGGGUACGGGCAGACUAGAGUGUGGUAGGGGAGACUGGAAUUCCUGGUGUAGCGGUGAAAUGCGCAGAUAUCAGGAGGAACACCGAUGGCGAAGGCAGGUCUCUGGGCCACAACUGACGCUGAGGAGCGAAAGCGUGGGGAGCGAACAGG
rnacentral:rRNA from 1 species